rnacentral:sRNA from 1 species
CAGCUCCCACAAGGGGCACACGGGCCAUACCCCUCUCAGUAGCUUUCGGGUACGGGCAAGGAAAAUGAGUGUAGAUUCAACUAGGACACCAGGUGGAAAAGAUGGCGUUGGAGGUCACUUCGCUGUGUCGCUGGACCUCUCUCCAGAAAGGUCAUGACUUCCACCAGCUCAUCAGGAAGAAGGACAUGAGGCCAAGAGAGAGCUGGUCUCCUCUGGCCUCACAUCUGGAUGCCACUGGACAGAUUUACUUUUUGGAAGUUAGCUUCUGAAUGUGUCACAGAUACAUGCACCUUCGAGUCAGGACUGCAAACUCAGCAGUUACGAAACAGCCAGGCCGGUGAGAGACGCCCGGGCAGCGGUUGCAGGAUGUCAAUGGUAAGCUCGAGUUUCACACUAUCUCUUCACUAACUGGUGGUUCUCCUAUCUGCCUUUCCACUUUGGUGUUUUCCGUCUUUAAAAAGCCAAAGCGUGUUUUCUAGUGAAGUGUGGAAACAGUGUUGUGAGCUACCACCUCUGCGAAGACAGAUUUGAUCUUUUGCUGGCUGAGAAAUGAUAGUCUCAGAGAUAAAGAAAGAGGUUGGGAAGGUGGGCGGUCAGCGAAAUCCACACCGGAAGGACGACCUGCAAGCUACUGCGUGGCAUACCACGUGACAUCGUGCAAGCAUCCUCUGUCAGCAGCCGCUGCCCCCUGAGGCCUUGGUGUGGACAUUCCUGUGUCAGUGAGCGACAGGGAGCACCUAACAGCCAUGCUUGGGCUCGGUACUCACCAAGCUAUUUCCACAUUCAGUUCAGUUUCUCCUGCUCUGUCCACAGUCAUUAAAGCAAACCUAAAUAUACA